CUAAGGAACUCGGCAAAAUAGCCCCAUAACUUCGGGAGAAGGGGUGCCCCCUCACAAAAGGGGGCCACAGUGACUAGGCCCGGCGACUGUUUACCAAAAACACAGGUCUCUGCAAAGUCGUAAGACCAUGUAUGGGUUUGACCAGUAAAGAUCUUCGUAAAAUAUGUAGGAGCAAAUAUGAGCACCUAGGUUCCGCUAUUGAUUAUUGACCGGAGACGUGUCUCGG
rfam:Triticum urartu cultivar G1812 contig1131252, whole genome shotgun sequence.